rfam:Bacteroidetes bacterium RIFCSPLOWO2_12_FTLL_35_15 rifcsplowo2_12_scaffold_6885, whole genome shotgun sequence.
GUUUCGCGUUAGGGAUAGCAGCGAAAAUCCUUUUGAGAGGUACGAACAAAAGAUUGCAGCGAAUAGCCCGACCCGCA